CAGACCCUAAACUCUCCCACUGUGCUCAAGAGGACAUGAGAUGUUUUGCUUAUCUUGUUGAGUGCCUUGCAAGGAGGCUGGUAAUUGAGAAAUUUAAGAUUCUUUGAGGACACACACACACACAAAAAGAUCUAAAGCAUGAAAUGUCAUAGAAGCCGGAAGACGGUUUUAACAAUAAAACAAGGAAGACAAUGGGGAAGCAGGGAAGAUGGGAUGCAGGAAGAGUGCUUUGGAUUGCAGCCUUUGUGUCUCAUUCUCAGCAGAGAUCUUCUAGCAGUGAAGACCCAUUUCUGAGAUUCUGGUGUGCAUGUGUGAUGGUGAUGCCUGGAACCAUAGCAACCGUUUAUGAUGCUUGGAACCAUAGCUCUCCUUUCGUGAGAGGAGCCCAUCCAAAAGGAUGAGCUAACACACCGAGGAUAGGAAAAAUGGAAAACAAAAAUUACCUGGGGCCUUGACUUUGGUACUUAACCUUCAUAUGAACCAACUCUGGAAAUACUCACUUUUGAAACAGUGGGUAUGCAGUGCCUGGGGAGAUCUGCUUAAUUAUCCUCUGGUGACAUCUGCUUUAAGCUUGGGGUAACAAAUAUACAAGAUGAACAUGGAGUAUCUCAUGGUGUCAGGAAAUGAGGAGGCGUUUUACAAUACACACACACACACACACACGCACACACACACACACGCACACACGCAAAUGUCCCCAUGGCAAUGGGAAUGUGUAUUAGUUUUUCCAGCCCUGGACAAAAUAUCUGACACUUGGAACUUGGGGAGAGGGUGACUUUGAAUCACAGCAUCAUCUAUGGUUGGCUGGCUCCCAGGCAGAAGUGUCACGGAAGAAGGACCUGAGGGAGCCAGGAUGCAGAGAGGCAGGAAGGAGCCAGAGGGAGGGAGAUACUCAGAGGCAUGUCCUCAGCGGUCGCCUUCUCCGAGAGCAGCCCACCUCCUAAAAGCACACUCAGCCAUGAACUUAUCGACGGACAAACCCACUUGACAAGUAUAGCGUCCCCAGGAUCCAGGUACCUUCCAAAAGCCCCACCUCUGAACACAUGAGACUGGGCGCAUUUUAGUUCUAAUCCGGAGUGAAGUAUGGCCGAGGGAUCCGCCCAGAGCACUGUGACGGUUAAUCUUCACUGUUGCCUUCAUUGACUUGAGAGCCACCUAGAAUAUGAGGAAAGCACACUCCUGGGUGAGCGGGUCACAGGGUGUGACUCAGGGAUUAUAUCAGAUCCCUCGCACUUUUACCUCUGGCUCUUCUCCAGCGCUCUGCUUCCCGGAUAACAUGAGUUGAGCAACUUUGCUCUACUGUGCCCUUCAUCCGUGAUGUUUUCGCCUUGGAACUGGCCCAAUCACUUACUAAAAAGACCCUCUGGAAUGGUGAGCCAAAAUAACCUUGUUUGUGCCUUCAGUUGAGUGUGUGAGGUUAACCACCACCACCUCCGCCCCGUUUCUGGUUGUCCUGAGUUGAGAAGCUUUUCUUUGCGAGGCCCUCCUGCCAUGCUGUUUCUGCUUUGGACCCAGCCAACUGUGGACCAACUCCUCUGGAAAUCACCUCGACAGUUGGCUGGAUCAUGGAAAGACAUGGUGGAGAAUGCUUCACAAAGCUAAUCGCAAUCAUUAACAUCUCAGACGGAACAGUGAGUGGAAAGAUACAGGAAC